rnacentral:rRNA from 1 species
UACGUAGGUGGCAAGCGUUGUCCGGAUUUACUGGGCGUAAAGAGCGCGCAGGCGGUCGGAUAAGUCGAAUGUGAAAGCCCCCGGCUCAACUGGGGAGGGUCAUUCGAUACUGUUCGACUCGAAGGCAGGAGAGGGAAGUGGAAUUCCCGGUGUAGUGGUGAAAUGCGUAGAUAUCGGGAGGAACACCAGUGGCGAAGGCGGAUCUCUGGGCCUUACCUGACGCUGAGGCGCGAAAGCUAGGGGAGCGAACAGG